CCCAAAUCCUCAGAACUUGGGAAUGCUAUUGUUAACUUUUCUCAAGCAGUGUCUGAUGGGCUGCUGAUAUUUUUCUCUUCCUAUUACCCUGUGGAAUGUUGCAUUGCAUUUGGAAAGAUGUGUGUUACAGAAACUCUAGAAAAGUUAACUAUGGCAUUCCCUAGUUCUUGGAAUUGGAAGC
rnacentral:pre_miRNA from 1 species